GGGAAUGUGGCUUAGUGGUAGAGCGCUUGCCUAACGUGCAUGAAGCCCUGGGUUCGAUUCCUCAGUACCA
rnacentral:tRNA from 1 species